UACCAUGCCUUUAGGUAAGGACCUUCUGGGACUGUAAAAUGACACUCAAACCAAAGCACAGGCAAACAGUGAUUACAGAAUAGGAUGCUAUUUUUAUAAACCCUGGCUAAGCCAAGCCAGCUGAACUGAAAACAUUGGCAAGUGAGGAAGGAAAGGCAGAAUUGUGAAAAUAUUUUCACUUCACUGCUGCUUAUGAUGAUACGUAUAUUUAUAAAAUUGUCAGCCUCCUUCUCCUGUCUUCCCACCAAACCUGGCAUGGAUUGGAGACUCUGUAAAUACUGAAUGAGUGGUUGAUGAAUGAAUGGAUCUCCAUGGAAAUGAAGCUGACAAUGACCAAGAACCCCAUCCUUCUGCCUCCAGCCUCUGGCCUCUCUGAUCCUAGUUAGAAUGUGUCUGUGAAGAUAAGGAUACUGGGAAGGAUCUCAGUAAUGUUUUUCUCAGGUACAUUCUACCUGCAUUAAUGUUUUGAGCCACCACGAAAAAGUUAUCCUAUUCAUGUUAAAAUUGCAAACGCUUAUACCAGGAUGACAGUUAAAUGACAACAAAAUUUAGACCCUAUCAUUUAACCCUUCAGGGUACUCCGCUAACUAAACUGAAAGUACUCAAACCUGGCAAUCAAAUUGGGGACAAAAUAAAGGUUUUUAAUAAAA